GGGCAAGUUACUUGGUCCAGCUGACUUUAGGAAUGUCAUAGUGCUCGGUGAGUGUGUCCAGGUGUCGGUUGAAGUCCUGUGAAAGAGAGGUCACAUCAGCGUGAACCAGGCCAAAAUACUGAAUGAGGACCCAGUUCUGAAUACACAGUCUCGGGCUGAAGAAUAAGAAGCAGAUCGUGGCUGGUGAGAUGGCUCAGUGGGUAAAGUUGCUGGCCGCCAAACCGGACAACCUGAGUUUGAUUCUGGGACCCACACAAAGAAAGAGUGAACUGCUUCCCACAAGUUGUCCUCCGACCUCCACAAAUAUACUAUUGUACUCUAGUACACUGGUAACAAUAAA